rnacentral:snRNA from 1 species
GAGCCGUCACACGGAAUCGA